GGGGGGGGGGGCAAGCGUUGUUCGGAAUUACUGGGCGUAAAGGGCGCGCAGGCGGGCCCGGCCAGUCCCUUGUGAAAUCCCACGGGCUCAACUGUGGAACUGCAGGGGAUACUGCCAGGCUUGAGUCCGGGAGAGGGUAGUGGAAUUCCCAGUGUAGCGGUGAAAUGCGUAGAUAUUGGGAGGAACACCGGUGGCGAAGGCGGCUACCUGGACCGGUACUGACGCUGAGGCGCGAAAGCUAGGGGAGCAAACGGGAUUAGAUACCCCGGUAGUCCUAGCUGUAAACGUUGAGCACUUGGUGUGGCGGGUAUCGACCCCUGCUGUGCCGAAGCUAACGCAUUAAGUGCUCCGCCUGGGGAGUACGGUCGCAAAGGCUG
rnacentral:rRNA from 1 species